AGCAGCCGCGGUAAUUCCAGCUCCAAUAGCGUAUAUUAAAGUUGUUGCAGUUAAAAAGCUCGUAGUUGAAUUUUGGGUUUGGCCGAUUGGUCCGUUCUUGUAACGAGUACUGGUCGGUUGGGCCUCACCGCUUGGUAAUGCGUAAUGUCCUUUAUUGGGUGUUGCGAGUAGCCAAGACCUUUACCUUGAAAAAAUUAGAGUGUUUAAAGCAGGCUUAUGCCGGAAUACAUUAGCAUGGAAUAAUAGAAUAGGACGAUAAUUCUAUUUUGUUGGUUUCUAGGAUGAUCGUAAUGAUUAAUAGGGAUAGUUGGGGGCAUUAGUAUUCAAUUGUCAGAGGUGAAAUUCUUGGAUUUAUUGAAGACUAACUACUGCGAAAGCAUUUGCCAAGGAUGUUUUCAUUAAUCAAGAACGAAAGUUAGGGGAUCGAAGACGAUCAGAUACCGUCGUAGUCUUAACCAUAAACUAUGCCGACUAGGGAUCGGGCGAUGUUGUUUCAAUGACUCGCUCGGCACCUUAUGGG
rnacentral:rRNA from 1 species